rnacentral:snRNA from 1 species
ACUCCUUGCUAACAAUUGUCCAGUCUGUUCUUUUCAGUUUAAUCUCUGAAACGAGACUACGGUCUCUUCAAGAUUAUUCUUAUUUUUGAAACCCGUCGACGGCUCCCUGGGCUUGCUCAUAGUCGUUGGCACAGUGUCAUCCCUAUCGCACUACCUGGGAUGUACGCGACCUUUU